AUGCCGUCUCUGCGCACCGCCAGCUGGAAUGCCGACUGGCUGGAGGUCACAGCCGGCCGUCUUGAGGCCUGGAAGGGUUCCUCGGCCCGGGCCGAAGCGCGCCGGGCCUUGGAAUUCGUCAAGGCGUGGUAUCCGGGGCUGGACCUGGACCGUCUGGCCGCGUUCCGGUCAGAGGCCCAGGCCGAGCUGGAGGCUGUGGAGGGCGCCCUUGUCGAGCGUGCGGCGGCCAUCGCCGACUACACGGACACUAGUGUCUUCGUCCCCGAGCGGGCUGAAGGCGGCGAGGAGGUGCCGCCAGAGUGGUUCGGGAUGAACCCGGAAUAUGGUGAGGACUCGGCGGAGAUGAUUGACUCCAGCACCGAGGAAGAAGGCAAGGCGGAGGACGAAGGCGAGACGGAGGUGCCAGAAGGCGGAGCGGGCGACCAGCCUCAGCUCGAUCGCGCCUCUAGCAACGAGCCACGUCCGACCGGGCCGACUGCCGCUGGCGGAGAUCAAGCCGAGACUGCCCAGCCGACUCCCCCGGCGCCUGACACCGCCGUCUCCUCCGACCUCCGAACCCGUCUGCUGCUCCCUAGGCUGCCUUCUGGCUUUAUUUAUCUGUUCUAG
rnacentral:rRNA from 1 species